ACGGCUCAGUAACACGUAGCUAACCUGCCCUUAAGUCGAGGAUACUCUCGGGAAACUGAGGUUAAUACUCGAUAGGAGAUGUACCCUGGAAUGAUUCAUCUCUCAAAUUCGAGCUUAAGGAUGGGGCUGCGGCGGAUUAGGUAGUUGGCGGGGUAAAAGCCCACCAAGCCGAUGAUCCGUAAGGGCUCUUAGCGGAGAGGCCCUGAGAGGGAAUCUGAGACACUAUUCCCAGCCCUACGGGGUGCAGCAGUCGGGAAAAUUCUGCAAUGCGCGCAAGCGUGACAGAGCAAGCCAACGUGAUUUUCUAUUAUUGAACAUCUUUUGUGUGCUGUAAAUAGGCAUACGAAUAAGGACUGGGAGAGACGGGUGCCAGCCGCCGCGGUAAUCCCCGCAGUCCAAGUCGCAACCACAUUUGUUGGGUCUAAAACAUCCGUAGCUUGCUGUAUAAGUCUCUUGUGAAAUCCGAUCUCUCAAGGUUCGAAGUGCAAGAGAUACUGUACAGCUAGAGACCGGGAGACGCAAUGAGUACGCAUCGGGUACCGGUAAAAUGGGUUGAUCCAAUGCAGACUAACAACCGCGAAGGCACGUUGCGAGCACGGAUCUGACAGUGAGGGAUGAAGGCUAGGGGCGCAAAGUGGAUUAGAUACCCAUGUAGUCCUAGCAGUAAACACUGCACACUGAACAUUAGGGCCUCCUCGAGAGGUUCUAGUGCUGUAGGGAAGCCGGAGAGUGUGCUACCUGGGAAGUAUAGUCGCAAGACCGAAACUUAAAGGAAUUGGCGGGGGAGCAC
rnacentral:rRNA from 1 species